rnacentral:rRNA from 1 species
UACGAAGGGGGCUAGCGUUGUUCGGAUUUACUGGGCGUAAAGCGCACGUAGGCGGAUCGUUAAGUCGGGGGUGAAAUCCUGGGCUCAACUCCAGAACUGCCUUCGAUACUGGCGAUCUUGAGUCCGGAAGAGGUGAGUGGAACUCCUAGUGUAGAGGUGGAAUUCGUAGAUAUUAGGAAGAACACCAGUGGCGAAGGCGGCUCACUGGUCCGGUACUGACGCUGAGGUGCGAAAGCGUGGGGAGCAAACAGG